CUUCUGUUUCUUCAUCUGUUUUUUUAUUAUUCUUUACAAAGCAACUACAACUCACCGAGAUGGUCACAACAAAGUCAAAAUAUAAUGGUGUUAGGAUUAUGUUACAUAUUUCACAAAUUGUAAGACAGAACAUCUAGUACAUUCAGGGGACACAGUUAAACAAAAAAAAAAAAAAAGCAAAAUAGAAACAGUGAUGAUAAG